AAGUCGUAACAAGGUCUCCGUAGGUGAACCUGCGGAGGGAUCAUUAACACGUUUUAAAACACGUUUUAACUAACACCAACCAACCACGUGAACUAUUUAACACUCCUGGAAGAGAAAGAAUUCUGUCUCCUCUCACUAAUGAUAAGUUUACGCAAGUAAACAGUGAGUUUAGACUAGCAUUGCAGUUAAGAGCUGACUUGUACAGACCUUUCACUUUUGGGCUAAAUGCUCCUAUUAUCAUUCGAGCGAAAACAACCCCUUUCACCAUUUCUAUAACUAUUGACUGAUCGUUUUUCUUUGCAACAUAAGAAAAAACCUAAUCAAAUAUCUAAGCACAACUCUUAGCAACGGAUAUCUUGGUUCUC
rnacentral:misc_RNA from 1 species